AUACGAAAGGUGCAAGCGUUGUUCGGAUUUACUGGGCGUAAAGAGAUCGUAGGUGGUUUAUUAAGUCGGAUGUGAAAUCCCGGGGCUCAACCCCGGAACUGCAUUCGAUACUGGUAGACUAGAGUUUGGGAGGGGUAAGCGGAAUUCCGUGUGUAGCAGUGAAAUGCGUAGAUAUACGGAGGAACACCUGAGGCGAAGGCGGCUUACUGGACCAAUACUGACACUGAGGAUCGAAAGCGUGGGUAGCAAACAGGAUUAGAUACCCCAGUAGUCC
rnacentral:rRNA from 1 species